GUUAAGAAUCUUGCGCAAUGGGCGAAAGCCUGACGCAGCGACGCCGCGUGAAUGAUGAAGGCCUUCGGGUUGUAAAGUUCAAUAAGCAGGGAAGAAUAAGUGGAGUAUAAUACACUCCAUGAUGACGGUACCUGUCUAAAGCCUCGGCUAACUACGUGCCAGCAGCCGCGGUAACACGUAUGAGGCGAGCGUUGUUCGGAAUUAUUGGGCGUAAAGGGCGUGUAGGCGGGGGAUUAAGUUAGGUGUGAAAUCCACGGGCUUAACCCGUGAAUUGCAUCUAAUACUGAUUCUCUUGAGUUCGGGAGAGGAGAGCGGAAUUUCCGGUGUAGCGGUGAAAUGCGUAGAUAUCGGAAAGAACACCAGUGGCGAAGGCGGCUCUCUGGCCUAGAACUGACGCUGAUACGCGAAAGCGUGGGGAGCGAACGGGAUUAGAAACCCGUGUAGUCC
rnacentral:rRNA from 1 species